rnacentral:tRNA from 1 species
GGUCGAUUAGCUCAGCUGGUUAGAGCGUACGGCUUACAUCCGUAAGGUCGCAGGUUCGAUCCCUGCAUCGACCA